UUAGUUUCUUUCUUUCUAGCAUUGCUUCUAGUGUGUCCUAAGCCAAGACAAGGUGGUCUUCUUUAGGACAAAAGGAUUAGAAGUGAUUUUAGAAGGCUAAAGAAAAAUAGAAAGGAAGGAAAGCAAGCCAUUAGAGCUCUUUAGAAGAAUUCUGCAUUAAGGAUCAAAAGUCUUUGGAGCUAAAGUCUUGAUCAAGUUUUCAUGUGGAUCACCAUUGGAGGGUGGACACUUAGACGCCUCGUGGAGAUUGUACACUUUGGAUUAGCGUUUGAGGUAUUCUACUAAUUCUGCAUUUAUUUUAUAUCAUUUGAUUGUAAUCAUUAAGGUGAUCUAGGCUUAAAAGAGUUUCAUGCAUAGGGACUUUAUUAAGAAAUUUUUAAAAUCCCUAGCUUCCGCUGCGCAUUAUAACAUGCUAAAACCCUUCACUAUUGACUUAAUAUUGGUUAAUCAGGUCUUAGUGUUUGCAACUUGAGCUCUUCAUAAGAGAUAAUCGAACAAUUGGCCAGGUAAGCAGGUGGGAGGCUCCCCUUACUCAGAGAGUAAGGUCCUAAUUAAGUAACCACCUUUCAUGCUUUCCUAGACACCAAUUAGAUCAAUUAAUCUAAUAUGACUCGCUCAUGUUGGUUCACUCU
rnacentral:lncRNA from 1 species